rnacentral:rRNA from 1 species
AGCGGCGGACGGGUGAGUAACGCGUGGGUAACCUGCCUCAUACAGGGGGAUAACAGUUGGAAACGGCUGCUAAUACCGCAUAAGCGCACAGUACCGCAUGGUACGGUGUGAAAAACUCCGGUGGUAUGAGAUGGACCCGCGUCUGAUUAGGUAGUUGGUGAGGUAACGGCCCACCAAGCCGACGAUCAGUAGCCGACCUGAGAGGGUGACCGGCCACAUUGGAACUGAGACACGGUCCAA